CCCGAGCCGCGUGACGGGCGGGCGGGGCCCGGGGCGCCGUGAGGGGCCGGGGUCGUGUCCCCGUCCUUGUGCCGCUGUCCCUGUUCUUCUCCCGGCCCUUCCCUUCUCCCGGCCCUUCCUCCCCUCACGGACACAUCGCCGCCUCCCCCCCGAGCCUCCGGCACCGCGGCCAGCGCUCUGCAGCUCCCGGCGUGCCCGGCUCCCCUCGGCGGCCGCCCCGCGGUGCUCGGGACCCGCCUCUGCCCGUGCGUGCUCGGGGACCCCGCUGCGAUGCUCCGGGGCGGUGAUCACCGUGUGCGCCUUGGCAGAAGGAGCCCUGGAAAGUGACACAAAAUCUCCUGCGCUGCUGCUAUCACACCCUGCUCCAGUGGUGAAGCACGUGGCGUCUGUGGCAUCCCAAGUUCUCCCGAGCCCUGCUCAGCCAUGCCCUGAGUCUGUUCCCGUCACUUGUCUCCGGUUCUGUGGGGCCUGAUGGUCACAAUCCCCGGUCUUCAUGGUUUUGGUUGUGCCAGUGCAGUUUUAUUGAUUUGAGUGCACUUUGGACUUUGAUCAGUUGCUUGUUUUAGGCAGUUCAUUUAGCAAGGCACCUAAUAACAGAUGAUAGAAUUAUAGAGUUGGAAGGGCCUGACAA